UUUCUUUCUUCCUCUCUCUCCCUCCCUUCCUCCUUCCUCUCCUCCCUCCUCCUUUCUUCCCUCCCUCCCUUCUCUCCUUCCCUUCCUCUCCUCCCUCCUCCUUUCUUCCCUCCCUCCCUUCUCUCCUUCCCUUCCUCUGCUCCCUCCUCCUUUCUUCCCUCCCUCCUUUCUCUCCUUCCCUUCCUCUGCUCCCUCCUCCUUUCUUCCCUCACUCCCUUCUCUCCUUUUUGCUGCUGCUUUGCUGUUUGCUGCCAUCAGGGCAGGGGUGGAGCAGUAAGUGGGUUCCACCCCCAGCCACACCGUGAUUGGCUCAGGAGUGGACACGUGCCCUGAGCCAGUCUAAUCCA
rnacentral:lncRNA from 1 species